UACGUAGGGGGCUAGCGUUGUCCGGAAUCAUUGGGCGUAAAGAGCGUGUAGGCGGCUAGUCAAGUCCGGUGUGAAAUCCUGGAGCUCAACUCCAGAACUGCCUUUGAUACUGGCGAUCUCGAGUCCGGGAGAGGUGAGUGGAACUGCGAGUGUAGAGGUGAAAUUCGUAGAUAUUCGCAAGAACACCAGUGGCGAAGGCGGCUCACUGGCCCGGUACUGACGCUGAGGUGCGAAAGCGUGGGGAGCAAACAGG
rnacentral:rRNA from 1 species